UACGUAGGGCGCAAGCGUUAUCCGGAAUUAUUGGGCGUAAAGAGCUCGUAGGCGGUUUGUCGCGUCUGCCGUGAAAAGUCCCGGGGGCUCAACUCCGGAUCUGCGGUGGGUACGGGGCAGACUAGAGUGAUGUAGGGGAGACUGGAAUUCCUGGUGUAGCGGUGAAAUGCGCAGAUAUCAGGAGGAACACCGGUGGCGAAGGCGGGUCUCUGGGCCGAUACUGACGCUGAGGAGCGAAAGCGUGGGGAGCGAACAGG
rnacentral:rRNA from 1 species